CGGUCGGACCGGACCGGCGCGACGGGUGAGUAACGCGUACUACCUAACCCUUCCCUUAGUAGGGCAUAGCCCGGUGAAAAUCGGAUUAAUACCCUAUGUUGUGUCAUGAGGACAUCUGAAUAACACUAAAGAUUUAUCGCUAAGGGAUGGGGAUGCGUCCGAUUAGGUAGUCGGCGGGGUAACGGCCCACCGAGCCCUCGAUCGGUAGGGGUUCUGAGAGGAAGGUCCCCCACACUGGUACUGAGACACGGACCAGACUCCUACGGGAGGCAGCAGUGAGGAAUAUUGGUCAAUGGGCGAGAGCCUGAACCAGCCAAGUAAGCGUGCAGGAUGACGGCCCUAUGGGUUGUAAACUGCUUUUAUACGGGGAUAAAGUGAGGGACGUGUCCCUUAUUGUAGGUACCGUAUGAAUAAGGACCGGCUAAUUCCGUGCCAGCCGCCGC
rnacentral:rRNA from 1 species